GAUGAACGCUGGCGGCGUGCCUAAUACAUGCAAGUCGAGCGAACAGACGAGGAUCUUGCUCCUCUGACGUUAGCGGCGGACGGGUGAGUAACACGUGGAUAACCUACCUAUAAGACUGGGAUAACUUCGGGAAACCGGAGCUAAUACCGGAUAAUAUAUUGAACCGCAUGGUUCAUUAGUGAAAGACGGUUUUGCUGUCACUUAUCGAUGGAUCCGCGCCGCAUUAGCUAGUUGGUAGGGUAACGGCUUACCAAGGCUACGAUGCGUAGCCGACGUGUGAGAGGGGUCGCCGACCCUGGAGGGGGACCGCGGUCCAGACGCCUACGGGAGGCAGCAGUAGGGAAUCGGCCGCAAUGGGCGAAAGCAUGACGGAGCAACGCCGAGUGAGUGAUGAAGGUCUUCGGAUCGUAAAACUCUGUUAUUAGGGAAGAACAAAUGUGUAAGUAACUAUGCACGUCUUGACGGUACCUAAUCAGAAAGCCACGGCUAACUACGUG
rnacentral:rRNA from 1 species